UGCGUCUUCUGAUUGGCUGAUGUUAUUUUGUCAUGAGCCCAUAGACAUAAUUUAGUCAUGUGACCGUGACGUCAUCAACGUUUUUUCAUGGUUUUCUACGGUUUAAAAUGAAAUUUAGAAUUAAAUUAUAAGAAAUGACUGUAAUAUUUUUUCUGUCUAUUCGAAAUAACAUAAAAAAUGUGGUGCACACUGUUAAAUAACCCGCUACGCGCGUUAUUCAGUGUGCACCAAUUUUUUUUUUUGUUAUUUCUUCAUGGACAGAAAAAAUAUUACAGUCAUUCCUUAAAUGUUAAACUUUU
rnacentral:lncRNA from 1 species